UGAGUAGAAGAAUCGGCGAAAUCAAUUGUUUUUCAUUUGGUUAUGCAUUAUAUGUUUUCACAUGAAUGUUAUGUGGAAAGUUCAUACUAUGCGACUCAACAGCAUGGCAACCAAAAUUCAAUGGUAAAACAUAUCGUAUUCAUGUGAAAGUAGUAUGAAUAUAAUUUGAAAUAGCACAUGAACUGCGUUUUAAUAGAUUUUCUUGCGAAAUUCGAAGAAAUAUCAUUUGAUUUGCUUUUCAACAUGUAAGCGCACUUGAUAAUGAUGUUAAAUUUCCUUUGGUUUUAUAGUGUGAUUUUUUAUCAGUGUAUUUGCACUUUUUCACCAUGGCGUCCCAUUUGACCGCUUUAUGGAUCGUUUUCCAGUUUUUAAAACUUUGGCUGGCAAUCGUGAACUGAUCCGGCCCAGUUUUUGGCCUGCUUGGUCGAUCAUCAAAAAAAGACAAAAGCGAGGAUAAAAGACAACAAAUGUCACGAGAAUGUUCGGCGGAACAUGAACAUGUAACAAUUGACAAGAUUUUGCAUCUAUCUAUCGGAUUUGCAGUUCCCAUAUGCGAUGUGCUUCCGGAAUCGAUUAUAACGUGGAGAAAAGAUAUUGUGUAAGAAUCUAUAUACUGCGAU